GGCUCAGCCCCCCCAGUCUAUUUUCUGAGCCACUCAUGCACUUGUCCAGCCUGGCAGGCGAAGCCCCAUGUCCGGCAGUGCCAGGGCCAGGAAGGGAGUGAGGUGGGGUGUCAUCGGGGGAAGGCCCCAUCUGUGCACUGGAUUCCGGGCAGGUGGAGCUAGAUCCCUCAGUUCCAUCAGGAGGCCCUGGCUUCUGAGUGCUUCUUCCUGGACAGGUUCACUGGGACGAGCAGGAGUGACUCACCCUUCUAUGGAGUGGAAGUUGCCUGGCUUUUCCUCAUCUUGCGAUGCCUCUUGGAGUCAGACCUGGUGUCCAGAUUCUGGUUUGCAAGGGAACAAAGACUUCUCAGAGCCAUGGAGGUGGGGUUUCCUGUCAAUUCCAGCGUCAACUUGGGGACCCAUGCUG